rnacentral:sRNA from 1 species
GCGGGCGGCGACGGAGCCGGGAUCGGUGCCUCAGCGUUCGGGCUGGAGACGAGGCCAGGUCUCCAGCUGGGGUGGACGUGCCCACCAGCCGCCGAAGGCCAGGACGCCAGGUCCGGUGGACGUGACAAGCAGGACGUGACAUGGUCCGGUGUGACGGCGAGGACAGAGGAGGCGCGUCCGGCCUUCCUGAACACCUUAGGCUGGUGGGGCUGCGGCAAGAAGCGGGUCUGUUUCUUUACUUCCUCCACGGAGUCGGCACACUAUGGCUGCCCUCUGGGCUCCCAGAACCCACAACAUGAAAGGUGAGGGGCUUCCUGCCACACUUGGGGUGGGGGGCACGCGAGAGGAGCUGAGUGGGACCUCACUCCUUCCCCAUCCACAGAAAUGGUGCUACCCAGCUCAAGCCUGGGCCUUUGAAUCCGGACACAAAACCCUCUAGCUUGGAAAUGAAUAUGCUGCACUUUACAACCACUGCACUACCCGACUCAGGAAUCGGCUCUGGAAGGUGAAGCUAGAGGAACCAGACCUCAUCAGCCCAACAUCAAAGACACCAUCGGAACAGCAGCGCCCGCAGCACCCACCCCGCACCGGCGACUCCAUCUUCAUGGCCACCCCCUGCGGCGGACGGUUGACCACCAGCCACCACAUCAUCCCAGAGCUGAGCUCCUCCAGCGGGAUGACGCCGUCCCCACCACCUCCCUCUUCUUCUUUUUCAUCCUUCUGUCUCUUUGUUUCUGAGCUUUCCUGUCUUUCCUUUUUUCUGAGAGAUUCAAAGCCUCCACGACUCUGUUUCCCCCGUCCCUUCUGAAUUUAAUUUGCACUAAGUCAUUUGCACUGGUUGGAGUUGUGGAGACGGCCUUG